GGUCCUAUAGUGUAAUGGUUAUUAGCACCUAAGACUCUGAAUCUUGUAUUCCCGGUUCGAGUCCCGGUAGGACCU
rnacentral:tRNA from 1 species